CCUGGCAGCUAGCUCUCGGCAACUCUCACAUGGUCGCUCACUGAAGCAAAGCAUGGUUGCUCCAGUUCAGCACUUGGAUGGGAAAACACAUGGGAAAGCCAGGUUGCUGCUGGAA
rnacentral:rRNA from 1 species